AGAAUGUGUCCAUUAGACUAACGGGCAGAUGUCCAGUGGCCUUGGCAUUGGCCCGGAGGGAUCGGAUGGCAGGGGAGGUGUGAGCCGGUGGGCUGGGGUCAGAGGCGGCCUCUGCUGAGUCACCAUGACCCUGCCUCUCACCACCCUCUGUGACAUCACACACAUUCUAGCCUCAGUCUCCCAGGGCCCUGUGUCUGGCUGGAGAUCCUGGGAGCCUGCCCAGGCCACGGAGCUGAGUUAAUCCAACUUGGAUGAUGUGCUUUCUACCAAUUUCCUUUUUUGUUACCACCCAGGAUGCUGGCCUUAUUCACCAAUAAUCCCGUUCUCGUUCAAGGAAACCACAGAAUCAGGGAGCAAGCAGCUUCGAUGGCGCUGCCUGGGAAGAAUGGAGAUGACUCUUAGGAUGAUCUUGGAAGUCACCCAAUGAAGACUGCAGCGUCCACCUCAGCCUGAGUCCCUGGAUGACCACACAGAAGAGGGCUCUGACACAACCUGUUCGUGCACCCAGCAUUGUUAAGUGAACAAGAAAUAAACCUGUGUUGGAACUGUUA